rnacentral:rRNA from 1 species
UACGUAGGGUGCAAGCGUUAAUCGGAAUUACUGGGCGUAAAGCGUGCGCAGGCGGUUCGCUAAGACCGAUGUGAAAUCCCCGGGCUUAACCUGGGAACUGCAUUGGUGACUGGCGGGCUAGAGUGUGGCAGAGGGGGGUAGAAUUCCACGUGUAGCAGUGAAAUGCGUAGAGAUGUGGAGGAAUACCGAUGGCGAAGGCAGCCCCCUGGGAUAAUACUGACGCUCAUGCACGAAAGCGUGGGGAGCAAACAGG